rnacentral:rRNA from 1 species
CCCUGGGUUAGUCGGGACCUAAGCUGAGGCCGAAAGGCGUAGGUGAUGGACAACAGGUUGAUAUUCCUGUACUACCGAUAACCGUUUGAGAGAUGGGAUGACACAGUAGGAUAAGCUAAGCACACUGUUGGUUAUGUGUGCCCAAGCAUUGAGGCAGUCAAAGUAGGCAAAUCCGCUUUGAUAAUGCUGGGAUGUGAUGGGGAGCGAAAUUUAGUAGCGAA